rnacentral:tRNA from 1 species
ACCUGGUUGGCUCAGUCGGUUAAGCGUCUGACUUCAGCUCAGGUCAUGAUCUCACUGUUCGUGAGUUCAAGCCCUGCAUCAGGCU